rnacentral:tRNA from 1 species
GUGCUUGUAGUGUAGUGGUUAUCACAUCCGCCUAACACGCGGAAGGUCCCAGGUUCGAUCCCUGGCAGGCACA